GACGAACGCUGGCGGCGUGCUUAACACAUGCAAGUCGAACGGAAAGGCCCUGCUUUUGUGGGGUGCUCGAGUGGCGAACGGGUGAGUAACACGUGAGUAACCUGCCCUUGACUUUGGGAUAACUUCAGGAAACUGGGGCUAAUACCGGAUAGGAGCUCCUGCUGCAUGGUGGGGGUUGGAAAGUUUCGGCGGUUGGGGAUGGACUCGCGGCUUAUCAGCUUGUUGGUGGGGUAGUGGCUUACCAAGGCUUUGACGGGUAGCCGGCCUGAGAGGGUGACCGGCAAGAUGGGGAAAGAAGUGCGGGCGGGACUCGUGCGGGAGGGAGCAGUGGGGGAUAGUGGAGCAUGGGCGGCAGGCUGAAGCCGGAACGCCGCGUGGGGGAGGAGGGAGGGCGGGUGGUAGGCCGCGAAGCCCGGUGAAGAAGCGUGAGCGAGGCGGAUGGGUAAAGAAGAAAACGCGUAACAGAUG
rnacentral:rRNA from 1 species